AGAGAGGCAAGGUUUGGAACUGGAACUGUGGAGAACGGGAAAGAACAGAGAAGAAUCAGAAUCAAUGCCAACUUGAUGCCUGAAGCGCAAAUCCUGAGAUUCUACGAAUUACACAUUCACAUCUGAUUUAGGGCCUACUAUGUGUUAGGUAUGGCUCUCUUCGCUGUAAAAAUUAAGAUAAACAACUUCUCUGGGCGUUAACAGUAGCGGAAACAACCAACAUCAAUGAUCACCAGACACAGGGUCUGGAAGCAAUGAUACCCUGUAGCAGUAUGUCAUUAACACACCUGAGACCCAGAUCAGGAUUUCUAAAUACUGUUUUCCACUGGAAGGGAGAUCUGCUGAGAAUCCUCAUCGCCUGAACAGGUUAGCUCCUAAGGGCAGAGAGCAGGAUGAAGAAGGAGGGGGAGUCUAUCAAAAGGAACAAGUGCAAGAUACUCAGUAUCCUGAAUAUGGGCUUCUUCUUGGAGAUCUCUCUCUCUUCUCAACCCCAAGUUGCCAUGUAAGCAUUCCAGCUUACAGUUCCAGCUGAGCCCAGCCUCCCAGCCAUCCCUGCCAAGACACAAGACGUGUGAGUGAACCCAUCUUGAACCCUCCAGACCAGGCCAUCUACUAACGCAAUACCACUGAAUGCUCUCAAUCAACAUCUCAUGGAAGAGAAGAGUUGCCAUCGGAGCCCUGCGCAAAUUCCUGAACCCCCCAU